UACAGAGGGGGCAAGCGUUGUUCGGAAUUACUGGGCGUAAAGGGCGCGUAGGCGGCCUGUUAAGUCGAACGUGAAAUCCCCGGGCUCAACCCGGGAACUGCGUCCGAUACUGGCAGGCUUGAAUCCGGGAGAGGGAUGCGGAAUUCCAGGUGUAGCGGUGAAAUGCGUAGAUAUCUGGAGGAACACCGGUGGCGAAGGCGCAUCCUGGACCGGCAUUGACGCUGAGGCGCGAAAGCCAGGGGAGCAAAGCGG
rnacentral:rRNA from 1 species